rnacentral:rRNA from 1 species
AGUCGUAACAAGGUUUCCGUAGGUGAACCUGCGGAAGGAUCAUUACCGAAUUGUCAAACGGGUUGUUGCUGGUCCUUGAAAGGGGACAUGUGCACGCUCUGUUUACACAUCCACUCACACCUGUGCACCCUCCGUAGUUCUAUGGUCUGGGAGACCUUGUCUUCCUGCCGUGGUUCUACGUCUUUACACACACACUGUAACAAAGUCUUAAGGAAUGUAUGCAGCGUCUAACGCAAUACAAUACAACUUUCAGCAACGGAUCUCUUGGCUCUCGCAUCGAUGAAGAACGCAGCGAAAUGCGAUAAGUAAUGUGAAUUGCAGAAUUCAGUGAAUCAUCGAAUCUUUGAACGCACCUUGCGCCCCUUGGCUAUUCCGAGGGGCAUGCCUGUUUGAGUAUCAUGAACACCUCAACUCUCAUGGUUCGCCGUGAUGAGCUUGGACUCUGGGGGAUUUGCUGGCCUGCGGUCAGCUCCCCUCAAAUGAAUCAGCCUCCCAGUGUUUGGUGGCAUCACGGGUGUGAUAAAUAUCUACGCUCGUGGUUGCCUGCCAGGUAACCUUUGGUGACAAAGGUUUGCUGGAGCUUACAGAUGUCUCUCCUCAGCGAGGACAGCUUUUUGGACGUUCGAUCUCAAAUCAGGUAGGACUACCCGCUGAACUUAAGCAUAUCAAUAAGCGGAGGAAAAGAAACUAACAAGGAUUCCCCUAGUAACUGCGAGUGAAGCGGGAAGAGCUCAAAUUUAAAAUCUGGCGUGCCUC